UACGGAGGAUCCGAGCGUUAUCCGGAUUUAUUGGGUUUAAAGGGAGCGUAGGUGGAUUGUUAAGUCAGUUGUGAAAGUUUGCGGCUCAACCGUAAAAUUGCAGUUGAAACUGGCAGUCUUGAGUAGAGUAGAGGUGGGCGGAAUUCGUGGUGUAGCGGUGAAAUGCUUAGAUAUCACGAAGAACUCCGAUUGCGAAGGCAGCUCACUGGACUGCAACUGACACUGAGGCUCGAAAGUGUGGGUAUCAAACAGG
rnacentral:rRNA from 1 species